ACGGAGUUAUUUUGGCAGAAGCCUUCGGGUGGACGCUGAUAUAACUUAGUGGCGAACGGGUGAGUAACACGUGAGCAACCUGCCCUUCAGAGGGGGACAACAGUUGGAAACGACUGCUAAUACCGCAUAAGACCACAGUGUGGCAUCACACAGAGGUCAAAGGAGAAAUCCGCUGAAGGAUGGGCUCGCGUCCAAUUAGCUAGAUGGUGAGGUAACGGCCCACCAUGGCGACGAUUGGUAGCCGGACUGAGAGGUUGAUCGGCCACAUUGGGACUGAGACACGGCCCAGACUCCUACGGGAGGCAGCAGUGGGGAAUAUUGCACAAUGGAGGAAACUCUGAUGCAGCGACGCCGCGUGAGGGAAGAAGGUCUUCGGAUUGUAAACCUCUGUUGUCAGGGACGAUAAUGACGGUACCUGACGAGGAAGCCACGGCUAACUACGUGCCAGCAGCCGCGGUAAAACGUAGGUGGCAAGCGUUGUCCGGAAUUACUGGGUGUAAAGGGAGCGCAGGCGGGAGAGCAAGUUGGAAGUGAAAUCUGUGGGCUCAACUCACAAAUUGCUUUCAAAACUGUUUUUCUUGAGUGGUGUAGAGGUAGGCGGAAUUCCCGGUGUAGCGGUGGAAUGCGUAGAUAUCGGGAGGAACACCAGUGG
rnacentral:rRNA from 1 species